GACGAACCGAGCGAACGUUGUUCGGAAUCACUGGGCUUAAAGGGCGCGUAGGCGGGCUGUCAAGUUUGGGGUGAAAUCCCACGGCUCAACCGUGGAACUGCCUCAAAUACUGACGGUCUCGAGGGAGGUAGGGGCGAGCGGAACUGAUGGUGGAGCGGUGAAAUGCGUUGAUAUCAUCAGGAACUCCGGUGGCGAAGGCGGCUCGCUGGACCUUUUCUGACGCUGAGGCGCGAAAGCUAGGGGAGCAAACGGG
rnacentral:rRNA from 1 species